rnacentral:rRNA from 1 species
CCUGGUUGAUCUUGCCAGUAGUCAUAUGCUUGUCUCAAAGAUUAAGCCAUGCAAGUGAAAGUAUAUAUAUAUUUUAUAUGUAGAAACUGCGAACGGCUCAUUAAAACAGUUAUAGUCUACUUGACAUUUUUAUUAUAAGGAUAACUACGGAAAAGCUGUAGCUAAUACUUGCUUUAUUAUCCUUUGAUUUUUAUCUUUGGAUAAGUAUUUGUUAGGCCUUAUAAGAAAAAAGUUAUUAACUUAAGGAAUUAUAACAAAGAAGUAACACGUAAUAAAUUUAUUUUAUUUAGUGUAUAUCAAUCGAGUUUCUGACCUAUCAGCUUUUGAUGUUAGGGUAUUGGCCUAACAUGGCUAUGACGGGUAACGGGGAAUUAGAGUUCGAUUCCGGAGAGGGAGCCUGAGAAAUAGCUACCACAUCUAAGGAAGGCAGCAGGCGCGUAAAUUACCCAAUUCUAAAGAAGAGAGGUAGUGACAAGAAAUAACAAUGCAAGGCCAAUUUUUGGUUUUGUAAUUGGAAUGGUGGGAAUUUAAAACCUUCCCAGAGUAACAAUUGGAGGGCAAGUCUGGUGCCAGCAGCCGCGGUAAUUCCAGCUCCAAUAGCGUAUAUUAAAAUUGUUGCAGUUAAAACGCUCGUAGUUGAAUUUCAAAGAAUCGAUAUUUUAUUGUAACUAUUCUAGGGGAACUAUUUUAGCUUUUCGCUUUAAUACGCUUCCUUUAUUAUUAUGUUCUUUAAAUAACAAAGAUUCUUUUUAAAAUCCCCACUUUGCUUUUGCUUUUUGGGGAUUUUGUUACUUUGAGUAAAUUAGAGUGUUCAAAGCAAACAGUUAAAGCAUUUACUGUGUUUGAAUACUAUAGCAUGGAAUAACAAAAUUGAACAAGCUAAAAUUUUUUGUUCUUUUUUCUUAUUUUGGCUUAGUUACGAUUAAUAGGAGUAGCUUGGGGACAUUCGUAUUCAGAUGUCAGAGGUGAAAUUCUUAGAUUUUCUGGAGACGAACAACUGCGAAAGCAUUUGUCUAAAAUACUUCCAUUAAUCAAGAACGAAAGUUAAGGGAGUGAAGACGAUCAGAUACCGUCGUAAUCUUAACCAUAAACUAUGCCGACUAGGUGUUGGAUGAAAGUGUUAAAAAUAAAAGUCAUCUUUCGAGGUGACUUUUAGAUUGCUUCCUUCAGUACCUUAUGAGAAAUCAAAGUCUUUGGGUUCUGGGGCGAGUAUUCGCGCAAGCGAGAAAGUUAAAAGAAUUGACGGAAGGGCACCACCAGGCGUGGAGCUUGCGGCUUAAUUUGACUCAACACGGGGAAACUCACUAGUUUAAGACAAGAGUAGGAUUGACAGAUUAAUAGCUCUUUCUUGAUUUCUUGGAUGGUGAUGCAUGGCCGUUUUUAGUUCGUGAAUAUGAUUUGUCUGGUUAAUUCCGAUAACGAACGAGAUCUUAACCUGCUAAUUAGCGGCGAGUACACUAUAUUCUUAUUUGAAAUUGAACAUAGGUAACUAUACAUUUAUUAAGUAAUCAAAUUAGGAUAUUUUUAUUAAAAUAUCCUUUUCCCUGUUCUACUAAUAAUUUGUUUUUUACUCUAUUUCUCUCUUCUUUUAAGAAUGUACUUGCUUGAUUGAAAAGCUUCUUAGAGGAACAUUGUGUGUCUAACACAAGGAAGUUUAAGGCAACAACAGGUCUGUGAUGUCCUUAGAUGAACUAGGCUGCACGCGUGCUACACUGAUAUAUAUAACGAGUUUUUAAAAAUAUGCUUAUAUUUGUAUCUUUGAUGCUUAUAUUUUGCAUACUUUUCCUCCGCCGAAAGGUGUAGGUAAUCUUUAUCAAUAUAUAUCGUGAUGGGGAUAGAUUAUUGCAAUUAUUAAUCUUGAACGAGGAAUGCCUAGUAAGCAUGAUUCAUCAGAUUGUGCUGACUACGUCCCUGCCCUUUGUACACACCGCCCGUCGCUCCUACCGAUUGAAAGAUAUGAUGAAUUGUUUGGACAAGAAAAAUUGAAUUAUAUUCUUUUUUUUCUGGAAAAACCGUAAAUCCUAUCUUUUAAAGGAAGGAGAAGUCGUAACAAGGUUUCCGUAGGUGAACCUGCGGAAG